UUAACGGGGAAAAACCUUACCAAGGCUUGACAUACACGAGAACGGGCCAGAAAUGGUCAACUCUUUGGACACUCGUGAACAGGUGGUGCAUGGUUGUCGUCAGCUCGGGUCGUGAGAUGUUGGGUUAAGUCCCGCAACGAGCGCAACCCUUAUGAUCAGUUGCCAGCAUUCAGUUGGGCACUCUGGUCAGACUGCCGGUGACAAACCGGAGGAAGGCGGGGAUGACGUCAAAUCAUCAUGCCCCUUAUGACCUGGGCUACACACGUGCUACAAUGGGUGGUACAACGAGCAGCGAGACCGCGAGGUCAAGCGAAUCUCUAAAAACCAUCCUCAGUUCGGAUUGCAGGCUGCAACUCGCCUGCAUGAAGCUGGAAUCGCUAGUAAUCGCGGAUCAGC
rnacentral:rRNA from 1 species